rnacentral:rRNA from 1 species
GAUGAACGCUGGCGGCGUGCCUAAUACAUGCAAGUCGAGCGAACAGAUGAGGAGCUUGCUCCUCUGACGUUAGCGGCGGACGGGUGAGUAACACGUGGAUAACCUACCUAUAAGACUGGGAUAACUUCGGGAAACCGGAGCUAAUACCGGAUAAUAUAUUGAACCGCAUGGUUCAAUAGUGAAAGACAGUUUUGCUGUCACUUAUAGAUGGAUCCGCGCCGCAUUAGCUAGUUGGUAAGGUAACGGCUUACCAAGGCGACGAUGCGUAGCCGACCUGAGAGGGUGAUCGGCCACACUGGAACUGAGACACGGUCCAGACUCCUACGGGAGGCAGCAGUAGGGAAUAUUCCGCAAUGGGCGCAAGCCUGACGGAGCAACGCCGCGUGAGUGAUGAAGGUCUUCGGAUCGUAAAACUCUGUUAUUAGGGAAGAACAAAUGUGUAAGUAACUCUGCACGUCUUGACGGUACCUAAUGAGAAAGCCACGGCUAACUACGUG